rnacentral:tRNA from 1 species
AGGGAUUUAGCUCAGUGGCAUAAGCACCUGCCUGGCAAGCAUGAGGUCAUGAGUUCAAUUCCCAGUAUCACAA